GGUUAAGCGACUAAGCGUACACGGUGGAUGCCCUGGCAGUCAGAGGCGAUGAAGGACGUGCUAAUCUGCGAAAAGCGCCGGCGAGGUGAUAUGAACCUUUGACCCGGCGAUGUCCGAAUGGGGAAACCCAGUGUGUUCCGACACACUAUCGUUAACUGAAUACAUAGGUUAACGAGGCGAACCGGGGGAACUGAAACAUCUAAGUACCCCGAGGAAAAGAAAUCAACCGAGAUUCCCCCAGUAGCGGCGAGCGAACGGGGAGCAGCCCAGAGUCUGAAUCAGCUUGUGUGUUAGUGGAAGCGUCUGGAAAGUCGCACGGUACAGGGUGACAGUCCCGUACACGAAAGCACACAGGCUGUGAACUCGAAGAGUAGGGCGGGACACGUGGUAUCCUGUCUGAAUAUGGGGGGACCAUCCUCCAAGGCUAAAUACUCCUGACUGACCGAUAGUGAACCAGUACCGUGAGGGAAAGGCGAAAAGAACCCCGGCGAGGGGAGUGAAAAAGAACCUGAAACCGUGUACGUACAAGCAGUGGGAGCCUCUUUUAUGGGGUGACUGCGUACCUUUUGUAUAAUGGGUCAGCGACUUAUAUUCUGUAGCAAGGUUAACCGUAUAGGGGAGCCGAAGGGAAACCGAGUCUUAACUGGGCGUUAAGUUGCAGGGUAUAGACCCGAAACCCGGUGAUCUAGCCAUGGGCAGGUUGAAGGUUGGGUAACACUAACUGGAGGACCGAACCGACUAAUGUUGAAAAAUUAGCGGAUGACUUGUGGCUGGGGGUGAAAGGCCAAUCAAACCGGGAGAUAGCUGGUUCUCCCCGAAAGCUAUUUAGGUAGCGCCUCGUGAACUCAUCUUCGGGGGUAGAGCACUGUUUCGGCUAGGGGGCCAUCCCGGCUUACCAACCCGAUGCAAACUACGAAUACCGAAGAAUGUUAUCACGGGAGACACACGGCGGGUGCUAACGUCCGUCGUGAAGAGGGAAACAACCCAGACCGCCAGCUAAGGUCCCAAAGUCAUGGUUAAGUGGGAAACGAUGUGGGAAGGCACAGACAGCCAGGAUGUUGGCUUAGAAGCAGCCAUCAUUUAAAGAAAGCGUAAUAGCUCACUGGUCGAGUCGGCCUGCGCGGAAGAUGUAACGGGGCUAAACCAUGCACCGAAGCUGCGGCAGCGACACUAUGUGUUGUUGGGUAGGGGAGCGUUCUGUAAGCCGUUGAAGGUGUCCUGUGAGGGGUGCUGGAGGUAUCAGAAGUGCGAAUGCUGACAUAAGUAACGAUAAAGCGGGUGAAAAGCCCGCUCGCCGGAAGACCAAGGGUUCCUGUCCAACGUUAAUCGGGGCAGGGUGAGUCGACCCCUAAGGCGAGGCCGAAAGGCGUAGUCGAUGGGAAACAGGUUAAUAUUCCUGUACUUGGUGUUACUGCGAAGGGGGGACGGAGAAGGCUAUGUUAGCCGGGCGACGGUUGUCCCGGUUUAAGCAUGUAGGCGGAGGUUCCAGGUAAAUCCGGUUCCUUAUUAACGCUGAGGUGUGAUGACGAGGCACUACGGUGCUGAAGUAACAAAUGCCCUGCUUCCAGGAAAAGCCUCUAAGCAUCAGGUAACAUCAAAUCGUACCCCAAACCGACACAGGUGGUCAGGUAGAGAAUACCAAGGCGCUUGAGAGAACUCGGGUGAAGGAACUAGGCAAAAUGGUGCCGUAACUUCGGGAGAAGGCACGCUGAUAUGUAGGUGAAGCCCCUGCGGGUGGAGCUGAAAUCAGUCGAAGAUACCAGCUGGCUGCAACUGUUUAUUAAAAACACAGCACUGUGCAAACACGAAAGUGGACGUAUACGGUGUGACGCCUGCCCGGUGCCGGAAGGUUAAUUGAUGGGGUUAGCGGCAACGCGAAGCUCUUGAUCGAAGCCCCGGUAAACGGCGGCCGUAACUAUAACGGUCCUAAGGUAGCGAAAUUCCUUGUCGGGUAAGUUCCGACCUGCACGAAUGGCGUAAUGAUGGCCAGGCUGUCUCCACCCGAGACUCAGUGAAAUUGAACUCGCUGUGAAGAUGCAGUGUACCCGCGGCAAGACGGAAAGACCCCGUGAACCUUUACUAUAGCUUGACACUGAACACUGGUCCUUGAUGUGUAGGAUAGGUGGGAGGCUUUGAAGCGUGGACGCCAGUCUGCGUGGAGCCAACCUUGAAAUACCACCCUUUAAUGGCUGGUGUUCUAACGUAGACCCGUGAUCCGGGUUGCGGACAGUGUCUGGUGGGUAGUUUGACUGGGGCGGUCUCCUCCCAAAGAGUAACGGAGGAGCACGAAGGUUAGCUAAUCCUGGUCGGACAUCAGGAGGUUAGUGCAAUGGCAUAAGCUAGCUUGACUGCGAGAGUGACGGCUCGAGCAGGUGCGAAAGCAGGUCAUAGUGAUCCGGUGGUUCUGAAUGGAAGGGCCAUCGCUCAACGGAUAAAAGGUACUCCGGGGAUAACAGGCUGAUACCGCCCAAGAGUUCAUAUCGACGGCGGUGUUUGGCACCUCGAUGUCGGCUCAUCACAUCCUGGGGCUGAAGUAGGUCCCAAGGGUAUGGCUGUUCGCCAUUUAAAGUGGUACGCGAGCUGGGUUUAGAACGUCGUGAGACAGUUCGGUCCCUAUCUGCCGUGGGCGCUGGAGAAUUGAGGGGGGCUGCUCCUAGUACGAGAGGACCGGAGUGGACGCAUCACUGGUGUUCGGGUUGUCAUGCCAAUGGCACUGCCCGGUAGCUAAAUGCGGAAGAGAUAAGUGCUGAAAGCAUCUAAGCACGAAACUUGCCCCGAGAUGAGUUCUCCCUGAGACUUUAAGUCUCCUGAAGGAACGUUGAAGACUACGACGUUGAUAGGUCGGGUGUGUAAGCGCAGCGAUGCGUUGAGCUAACCGAUACUAAUGAACCGUGAGGCUUAACCUU
rnacentral:rRNA from 1 species